rnacentral:rRNA from 1 species
CACGCUGUAAACGAUGAAUACUAGGUGUGGGGGGUCUGACCCCUUCCGUGCCGGAGUUAACACAAUAAGUAUUCCACCUGGGGAGUACGACCGCAAGGUUGAAACUCAAAGGAAUUGACGGGGGCCCGCACAAGCAGUGGAUUAUGUGGUUUAAUUCGACGCAACGCGAAGAACCUUACCAGGGUUUGACAUCCUACUAACGAAGCAGAGAUGCAUUAGGUGCCCUUCGGGGAAAGUAGAGACAGGUGG